rnacentral:tRNA from 1 species
ACCGGUAUAGCUCAGUUGGCAGAGCAAGGGAUUGUUAAUCCCUAGGUCAUUGGUUCGAGUCCAGUUACCGGUGC